rnacentral:rRNA from 1 species
AUUGAACGCUGGCGGCAGGCUUAACACAUGCAGGUCGAGCGGGGGAGGUUGCUUCGGUAACUGACCUAGCGGCGGACGGGUGAGUAAUGCUUAGGAAUCUGCCUAUUAGUGGGGGACAACAUUCCGAAAGGGAUGCUAAUACCGCAUACGCCCUACGGGGGAAAGCAGGGGAUCUUCGGACCUUGCGCUAAUAGAUGAGCCUAAGUCGGAUUAGCUAGUUGGUGGGGUAAAGGCCUACCAAGGCGACGAUCUGUAGCGGGUCUGAGAGGAUGAUCCGCCACACUGGGACUGAGACACGGCCCAGACUCCUACGGGAGGCAGCAGUGGGGAAUAUUGGACAAUGGGCGGAAGCCUGAUCCAGCCAUGCCGCGUGUGUGAAGAAGGCCUUUUGGUUGUAAAGCACUUUAAGCGAGGAGGAGGCUACUGGUACUAAUACUACUGGAUAGUGGACGUUACUCGCAGAAUAAGCACCGGCUAACUCUGUGCCAGCAGCCGCCGCGGUAA